GAAAAAUAUCUCGGUUUACUAGUUUUAAUUGGAAAAUCAAGGGUUCAAGCAUUUCAUUCUAUUAAAAGUCGAGUAUGGUAUAGAAUUAAAAAUUGGAAUAAUAGCCUUGUUUGGUUACACAGAUGAAAUGAGAUAAAAAUUAAAAGUUGAAUAAAAUAUUGUUAUAAUGUUAUUUUUAUUUUGAGACUUGAAAAAGUUGAAUUGUUUAUUAUAUUUUGUGUGAGAGUUUGAAAAACUUGUAAUAAUUAGAUGAGAUGAGAUGAGAUGAGAUGGUUUGAUUUGUGUAACCAAGCAAGCCCUAAGUUCCUAUCUCAAGCAAGAAAAAAUGUCAUCAUCAAAGCUGUUUUACAGGCUAUUCCUACUUAUAGUAUUAAUGUGUUUCUCUUCCCAAUAAAGUUAUGCCAGAUCCUAAGUAAGAUGAUUAGGAGAUUUUGGUGUAGUUUCCAAGAGAAGAAUCCUGGUGUAUUAUUGGAUUUCUUAGGAUCAAAUGGGAAUAUCAAAAUAUGCAAGUAGUUUUGAUUUAAAUUUGUUUAAUAAGAGUAGAAGGGAGACCAAUUCAACAGCGCUACGAUGUUCAUUAUGCAAUCGAAUAAUACUGUUGAGGCAAAGAUAUAUUGAUUGUUUAAUCAAUGAAUGUAUGGUUCUU